GGUCAUUACAAUGAUCUAACUGCCUUACCUGCUUUUGAACUGGUUGAGCCUCUUGUGGGACCGAAAACAAAAGAAGGGUGUUGAAAUGCAAAUAGAUAACUCUGGGUCCCAGUCCCUGACUGCAAAAGGAAGCCAAAACUGACAACAACGUCUCCUUCUCUACGGAGGUUUGUAGAAAGGCUGUACAAAAAUCUCACAAGAUGUAUUUCUUCUCGUGGACUGGAGUCCCAAGAUAAUCCUUACAAAACAUCUAUUCAUUCUACAAGUGAAAAUUUCAAGAAUAUUCGAUACUGACCUUGGCAAGAGUAAUGGACCGAGAUUGAGUGAUGAAUUUGUGUGUGUUGCGGCUGAUGUGCAUUUUGGUGCUUUGUAUGCAAGUUUAAGAAUAUCUUAGCAAUAGGAAAGGAAGAUUUAUGGCAUUUUAAUUAAUGAAUAUAAUGAAGGCUAAAACUUGUAGAUAAAUUUAUAAGGUGCUUAAGGGCUCUUCAAUUUGUUAAUGGAAAGAAACACCAUUUACACCGGAUGGCUACAAAGCAACCUUAUUCUGAGAGAGAGGAUCUCAUUCUGUCACCCAGGCUGGAGUGCAUGAUCAUAGCUCACUGCAGCCUCGACCUCCUGGGCUCAAGUGAUCCUCCUGCUCUAGCCUCUCAAGUAGCUAGGACUACAGAUCUUUUCUCAGAAUAGCAGUCUGUAGGCUGUCACCUAAAGUGUCCUGUUUUCAGUGCUGCACCUGCUCUGAGCUUCAGCUUUUUACGAAGACGUCAUGGUGUGCUAUCUGUACUGGGAAACUUUCCCCAGCAUCAGCCAGCUCCUGAAGAUAAUAUUGUCUGCUAGAGAUUGUCAUGUAUGUGGAUUGAAUCUCUUUAUCUUCAUGGUCCUCUUUCUGUGCCCCCAGCCCGGUUGACAAUGUGUGCCUUCACUCACCCAAUUAGAAACCUUGGAGGUAUCCUGUACUCUUCUGUCACUUACCCUCAGCCUAAAGCCAAUCAGUCACCAAAGUAUUGUCUGUCAUUAUCAUUAUCAUCAUCAUCAUCAUCAUCACUAUCACCAUUGAUGGAGUGAGAACCUUGUGCAGUUGAGCAUGAACCCCAAUUUCAUUUGCAAAAUGACCCAGACAGCAGAUUUCAUCUCAUAUAAAAUAAGCAAGGUGAGGUUUUGAUGACGUUACAGACAUGGCUAAGAAGAGGUUGAGAACCAGCAUUCAGCCCACCUGACUCCAAAGCUCAUGCCCCGAACCUCAGAAACUUCUCCAGUGAGUUCCUUUUUUUUAAUGGCAGGAUCACACCAUUAGUUUGGACUGGAUCCAACCUGGAUUGUUGCAACAGCCUUUGAUCUGAUCUGUCAAGCCCUGUGCCUUCUGUGCAACCCAUUCUCUACCCUGGCACGAGCAUUACUAAAAUACCAAUCUGGUC